UCCUGCAGGAGGAGAGGAAAGGCAGGGCUAGGAGCGGGGCCCUGCUCUGUGGCCUCUCAGGCAGUUGCUUCCCCUUCGGGGCUCUCUCCCCUCUUCCAUGCUGGGCUUUCAGUCUGAUUACCAAGCAAAGCAAACGACCUUCAGUAACCCCAGUCGCUGCUGCGGUUUCCAUCCCUCCUGGGGCCCCUGACCCACUGCUCCGAUGGAUUGCCGUGUGGCAGGGACAGGAGAAGACGCAGGCAGAACGCCAUGUCCGAGACAGAGAGCUGGCGGCUGCAGUCCAGGGCCCCACAGCCAAUGAACGAGGCAGCCCCCUGCCAUCUUUCUCCAGCUCUGUCCAAUAAACUUCAGUUUGGUUUGACUAUGAACCUGUCCAAGUGCCUUGGGCUGAGGAGACUGUGGAACUGAGGUGAAACCAGUGAACAGGGCUGCACUGUCUCCACUGAAGCAGCAGAUUGGCGUGCAUUGUGGGUGUUCAGAAGAUAAGGGACCGGGCAUUCGAGUGUCACAAAGUGGGGUGUGCAAAUUGCCAGCCGGCAGAGGCCACGGAGCUCGAGCACAACGCCUGUGUUGGCAGCAGAUGGUGGCGGGUGAGUAAGCAGGUGGGAGUAAUUCACCCCAGACAGCUCAGGUACCCCCCAAAAAGGGUCACACCAGGUUGGGGUAGAUCACUGGUGUCGAUUUUGCAGAGGUUUGGGCUGAGGUUUUACCCCCAUUCUGGCUUGGAGGCCUUCCUGCAUUUGCAUGUUAGUUUUUAUUUGCACCUAAUGGAUUGGUAUGCGGAUUUAAUGAAUUCAUGUUUUCCUAAUUGUUCUAUUUUGCAGCAAGUUGAAGGUUCUGUUCUAGGUGCCAGCUGAGUCUAAGGCGGUUCUGUGCUCUAUGAAGCAGGCAAAUCGCUUACCAUUUGUUGUUUCUGUCGGUUUGUUAACGAGGGUGUCAACCCUCCAGCUGGGAGCGAGCUUCCCAGCCUGGCUCCAUAGACUCGCGGUAGCAGGGAUCAUGCUAGCGCCUUGGGCUGGAGCUCUCAAGCUCCCUCACUCCCCUUCGGCUCCAGCCCAAGCUGGAACAUCAAAGCAUCAUCUACACAGCUCUCUGUAGAGCCCUCUUGUGAGCCCCAUUGGCACAAGUCUGUGGACCUGGCCUGGGAGGCUCUCCCAGAUGCAGUGUGGACCCAUCAGGAGUGUCUGCAGGGCAGGGCUGGGAAAGUCUGUGACAGGGCAGAGUUAAGGUGACUUGGGGGCCCUAGCUCUGCAUUUCAAGCCCUUACCAUGUCUGGAGUGCUGUUAAACUUCCCCUGACCUGUGAAUUUCCUGGGCUCACGCUGCAGGGAUUGGGGAUAAUGACAUCUCGACAAUGUAUUUUACCCUCAGGUGCUGACACGUCCUCUCAGGGGUAACCCAUUUACCACAGCCCCUGUCUGGGGAAUGGGAGGAAGUGACAAAACAUCUGCAGCUGCUUCUCCCACAGCCAGUUCUGACUCAUUUCUGCUUUGGAACCAUAGAGUAAUUAGUCACCAGAGCCCAUCGCAGGGAGGGGCUGGAUUGGCAGGUCAGGUUCAGUGUCAUUUAACACUGCCUGGGCCAGGGAUUCUUAGGGUUGAUCCACUGAAGGCGCCCUUCAGCCCUGGCAUAUUAUCAGGGGCCCGGGGAGCUGUAGUGAUAUUUUCAAGGGUAAUUCUGUUUCCCGUUAUAUUUCCAUGGCCUUGCAUCAGGGGGCCAGGAUGGAGCCUCUUGUAGAGGUCCCAGAAGUGUCUGUCCACAUCCCACUAGUCUGGAUUGGCAUCUCUGUUCCUGAUCCCACACCCCAAACAGCUACAGACCUACAGCCCCAGGCCAACCCCACACGUGCUCUGGGACAUUCCUCUACCUUUGUUCUCCUGGGGACAGCCCACUCUUGGCCCAUCUAGCACCAGCCACCCAGGCAGUGCAAGCCUGUUAACUGCUUUCCCCUUCCCUGUCCCUGGGAGGGGGGCCAGGGUUACACUCUUCAUUUACAAUGGGGAAAUGCAGGCCUGGAGAAGGCGGACAGAAGGGGGACAGAACCAGGAACAGAACCCUAGUGCCUUGCCUGCAUCUCUGUUGCUCUAACCACUAGACUCUCAUUCCCUUUGCUAAGGAGUGCUUGGCAGCAGCGCUGGCUGGGGGCUGGCUCACAGCCAGGCUGGGAGUGCCCACACUUACCUUCUGAGUGGUGGGAGAGAGUGAGCAGACUGACGCAGGAGGCGCCGAUGCCGGAGCCAAAGACAGUGAUUCGCAGGGGGUCCCCCCCGAAGAAGGCAAUAUUUUCACUGAUCCAGCGCAGCGCCUGGAUCUGAUCCAGCAGCCCAUAGUUCCCCUUGGCUGCCUGGUCCCCGGUGCUCAGGAAUCCUGCAGCCAAACGGAACCCACUUAGGACACAGCAAGCAGCCGGUCUCGUGACCUCCCACAAUCCCCUCCAGUCCCAGCCAGCGUGGGAGCCCCUCUCAAACCUCCGUCUGCGAGCACCUGUGGCCAAGGCCGUGCAGCAAGCCUCUGGGAUCUUCUUUGUGAGCCUCAGAGCUGAGGCCAGGAACCCCCACUGUGAGCCCCCGGGGCCCCCAUUUCCCUGCCAGUCCCUGGCACCUGCCCACUUAGAGCCCCCAGGAACAGGCUCUGAAUCUUUUGGGGCCUCCAUCCCCGCUAUGAAAUGGGGACAAAGAGCCUGCCUUUCCCAGCUGGACUCUCCCACUGCUCCUUCCCACUCCUCUCCUGGGCACAAUGUAGCAGCCCAGCCCACACCCCUUGGGUGGCCAGCAGGGCUCAGUGCAGAGGAAUGGGCCUACAUGGGCACUCGGCUGAGCCAUCUGCUUUCUGAGAGAUGACCUCCCACUCGAUUGACCACCAUCAAUAGAGUGACUCAGGCCCUGAGCCCUGUUCCAGCACAGGCUGCAAGGAGCCGUCCUGCUGGGCUGACGAACCCAGGAGUCCCCCAGCCACCUCCCCAUCGCCCGGCAGGGCAACAUCUCUCUCUGCCUGCAGACACUCUCCAGGUCCCUGUGGCUCUCACUGCUCCAGCAGGGGUGGGGGGCUCACUUCCCCAGAGCGGUGGGGCUCCUCACGGCCCAGGGAAGCCAUCAGCUUCUGCCCUCAGCAAUUUCUUCAGGCCAAACCAUUGGCUUGGGGCACUAGCUAAAGAAACGACCAGGCCCCCCACAGUCCCUGACUCCAGCAUCAGCCCAGAGAGCAGUAUGUCCACUGCUCAUGGCAGGGCUCACCAGCCCAGCCCCCAGCCUUCGCCAGGCCUGCAGCAGCUGGCAGAGCCAACGUUCCUCCAUUCUGCAGAGCACCCAGGCCAAGCAUCCUGUCAUCAGCCUUCUAACGCAGCUGGGGGAGGGGAGUGGAAAGCCCCCAGAAAGCCCCUGUUCACAGACAAGUUGGGCUGGGGCAGAGGGAGGGUUUGGGGUGCCAGGCAUAAACAAGAGGGCUCCGGAUGAACCUGGCCACAGGAGAGGAUCCCCAACAAGGCAGCUCCUCUGUCCACCUCAGGAAUGCUCCAGCCCAGGCUCUGGGAGCUGGGGCUGGGAAGAGGUGCCUGAUGCCUGAUUUUGAGAAGCCUGUGUGUCCCUAGCCCCAACGGAUGUCAGUGUGAAUCACGCCCCAGGAAUCUCAGGUCAGCACACUUGGCCUAUGUGAUUCGGUCCAACAUCUGCAGCUGGCCUGCCUGAGCCCACCCUCCCUCCACAGGACACUCUCCCAAGGGAAAGGUGGAAGAAUACACACACUGCAGGGACCAAGCCCUCCGGCCGCCCUGGGGGAGAGGGGCUAGAUAUGGCCUUGCCCAUCUGGAGCGGCUCAGCUCUGCAUGGCUUCAGUGCCAGCUGGCCCACUGGCCAUUGCCAGGAGCAAAGCUGUGCCCUGCAAGCGCUGACACAGCCUGGCUCUGGGGUCUGCUGUGGUGCGCCAGCAGGGUAAGCCAUCUGCCCUUCGAGAAAGCUCCCAUCGAUCUGUUUCCUGAGGCAGAAUGGAUGGGACAUGUCCCAGGGGGCGGCUCAUUAGCGCUGGCUGGGCAGCUGCUGCUCCCAGCCUCCAGGGAGGAGGAGCUGGAUAAACACAUGUAUUAAUUAUUUAACCGUGGAUCAAUAUUUGCUUUCAGCUGAGCCAGGCUGUGUAAAUGAAACUAAACUCCCCAGUCCAGGGAGCCUCAGCGCUGCCCCAGAGCCCAGCCACAGGCAUGUAGAGCGCUGGCAGAGAGGUCGGGGACAGGCAGCAGGAAGCACAAAGGGCCAGCUAGAGGCCCCACGCCCACUCCCACCUUUCUCAGUAAGAACAAAGAGGUGUUCUUACAGCUGGAAAAGACUAUAUAAGGCUGAUGCCUCAUCUCCAUCUUGUCUUCAAUCCUGCUUCUUACUUCUGGAGAGACUUUGCUACAAACUGAAGCUCUGAACAAAGGACCGAUGACCCAUCCCAGCUGGGGAGGUUCCAGAGACUUGAGCUAGACCUGCAGUUUAUUCUAUCGCUGCUACAGGCCUGAACCAAGAACUUUGCCAUUACUGUAUGUAAUUGAUCCCAUUUAACCAAUUCUAGCUCUCAUCUCUAUCUUUUUCCUUUUAUAAA